AUGCUGUGUUUUGAUCCUCUUAUGCUGACAGAUACAGUGGGUGGAGCCUGUGGGGUUCUGAAAAAGAGCAACUCAGCUUUUGCUUUGCAUAUUGCAAACAUGGCCAUCCUUUGUGUUCUGCUUUUGCUAUUGUUGAUUAAAAAGGAGACAUUUGCACAGUCAAUAACACAGCUGGAAAACAAGACACUUACAUCUGAGGGAGAAAAAGUCACUCUAUCCUGUAAAUAUGAUGGAGCUGUUACUAACCUGCACUGGUAUCGUCAGUAUUCGGGAUCCAGACCAGAGUUCCUUGCUUAUAUUUAUCCACAUGGAGACACAAGUAACCCUCUUCCUGAUCGUCUCAUACCUAAAGUUGAUAAAAACAACAAUCUUGUGAGCCUGGAGAUCUCUGAUGCUGAAGUAACAGAUUCUGCGCUGUACUACUGUGCACUGCCGCCCACAAUGACAGGAAACUCAACUACACUGUACAAAAACCUCUUGAACAAAAAACCUCAAAAACUAUGUAAAUGUUUCAGAAAUAUCUAUUAAGAGUUUACUGAGGGAAAACUCUUGGUUAAUAAUGAGUAUGAGUUCCUCCAAAGUGUUACCUCUUUUGAUGUCUAUCUUAGACAGAUAGACCAUGCUGCUCAUGUGUUGAGUGUGUUGUGUGUUAGUGUUAGGGUUAGGUUGAGCUGGAAAGGUCUGAUUAUGCAUCACAUUUCUCCAUAAUGAACAGGGUUGGGUAUCGAAAACCGGUUCCAUUUUAGAACUGGUUCCAAAUUUCCAAGAACCGUGUAUUCGAUAAGACGCGUGCAUUUCGAUUCUGCUUAACGAUUCCUGCAUUCGCAUUUCAAUUUGAUUAAAAACGAUUAAGUGCAGGAACGGAAAGUAUUUGCGCCCUGUUUGUGUGCAGCGCACAUGAAGCGCAAGCGCGUGCACAGAUUUUAUGAUAUUGCUAAUUGAUUUGUUUGUUCCUAUCUUAUUACUUACUGUUUACUUGUCUUUAACACUUUAAUAUUUGAAAUUUAUAUUAAUCUAGUUGUUUUUGCUGUGGUAUUUUUUUAAGCAUAGGCAAAGAUUCUCUUGCAUUGUUUUGUAGACUGCUGAUUUUUGCUCAUGUUAUUCAGCUGCAACAGAACACUUUGUAAAAAGACAGAAUACAUGUUUGACAUCUAAAUGUUUGACUUAAUCUUUUUUCUAUUGGAUUUUUCAUCUUAUUGGAAUCGAAACUAGGAAUCGAUAAGAAUCAGAAUCGACAAGCAGAAUCGGAAUCGGAAUCGAUAAAAUUCAAACAAUACCCAACCCUAAUCAUGAAUCUUUCUCACACUUCACUGAGCAGCUCAGUAAUAAUAACAUACUGGCAAAGGGGUUCACAAGCCCCUGUUUUUGUAAAACUGUUCAUGAGGAAUGAUUAUUAACCUCCAUCUGGAAUUUUGUGUUUUAAGUGUGUAUUACUGUGCUUUGAGUGUUUUGAAAUCAACAGAAAUUGGACGAUAAUAUCUAUUCUUUUAUUUUCACUUUUCAAGACUUUCAAAAUGUGAGUUAUGUUUCUAUUAGAGGAGGUGGAGCUCUGGACACUGACACAUUGUGAUCUUGUGAAAACUCAUCAGUGCCUGUUGCAGAGCUUAUUUAAUCUGCAUUAGUGAACCUAGACAAUGGUACACCAUUCUAUUAUUCUGCUAUUUAUCUUUACAUGUAAAUAUUAAUUUACUGGCAUUGCAUCUUAGUAUUCUAAUCAACCAUAAUGUGAGGAAUUUUAAUUAAGGUGAUAUUCAUACCUUUAAAAUAUCACUGAUUAAACCUGAUUCAUUCUAAAUACACAUUCAUAAAAGCUGAUUUAUUUUUGCAGGUACUAUGGAAAUGAAAUCAGACCAACCAAAUCUGAGGAGUUUGCUGUUGAAGGUUCAAGUGUUACAUUAUCCUGCAGUUAUUCAUCUGCACAGUCUUUAUUCUGGUACCGUCAGUAUCCCGGAUCAGCUCCUGAAUUCCUUGUAAUCCUCUUUUAUGGUGCAAAAGACGCUAAGAAGUCUGAUGUAGAUCCCAGAUUCACUGCUAAACCCAACAAAGAAAAGCAAAACCAUGUGGAUCUGGAGAUCUCCACUGCUAAAGUGACAGACUCUGCUUUGUACUACUGUGCCCAGGACGCCAGUGACAGGAAAACACAACAAGAAGACUGUACAAAAACCUGACACAUCUGAGAAGACAAAUCUAUUUAUAGGAGGAGGUUUAUAAGAAAAUACUUAAAUGCCUAUGAAGAAGAUGAUUUUUUAAAGAUGUUAAUAUACAUUAUUAACUUCAAGUGUUUACCAGAGCACAUGUGUAACAGUUUGAAUUUUAAUUAUAUAUAUAUACAUAUAUAUAAAGUUACAAAAACAAUAUUAAAUGUCUUUUAUGAAUAUGCACUUAUUAUUAAUAUUAUUUAAAAAGAAAUAUAAUACAUUAUAUAACCAACAUGAAUAAACUAUUAAAUUACUUUGAGAUCUUUGAUAUUGUAGAAAUUAAUUGGUUUAAACUGAUUUAAAUAGUUUACUGAAAAUAUAUGGAAAAUAUGUCAACAUAACUGUGAGGAUUUACUGGUAUUACUUUAUUUUAUGCUAUUCACAUUACAAUUUUUAAGAUAAAGUACUUUUACAUUCAGCUCUUUACUAUAUUGUGCUCAUUCUGAAAUAAUAAAAUAAAGUCAUAGAUCAAUUUUCUAUUUUCUGCUGUAAUACAGGAAAAAAAAAAUUUGAUUGUAACUGUUCCUCAGGUGUGAAAUGUAAACAGAGAGGAAGGACUACACAGAUCUGACAAUAAAUGCAGUUCACUGCACACUAGAUAUUUUUUCAGUUUUUCUCUUCUAUAGUCUGACAUUUAUUUAUAUAUUAUAUGUACUGGGGGAAAUGUGACCCUUGAAUCUUAAAUUACAUGCAGAUCCCUAUUUUGCCCAUUCAGAGGGGCCACACCUUUGAGAAUUUUUAAAUGCAAAUGCAUGAUUAUUGUAGGUUGAAAAGUAUUAGAGUAAAAUACUGUGGUAGAAAUCACUCAUUCAAGGUAAUCAUCUUCAGAUCAUUUACUACAAAGAAGCUAAAAAAAUGGGUGCAUGAUACAGGUGCAUGAUACCCAUCGGUAUAUCUAGUAACUAAAUAUCUUUACAAUACAGAGAUGACUAGCUAGUUUCAAGCAUGUGUUCUAAAACAUUUUCAGGCUAAUUCAAAUUUUGUGAAAAAUGGUUUCCAAAAUAAUUUUUUUUUUUUUUUAUAUAUCUUCACUCGUGAAAAGUCCUCUCACCGGCCCCCGCUCCCCACGUGAAGAUAUUACUGCGCCAAGUCAAAGUGCUCCCCAAAGUAUGGUAUUCCGCCAUACAAUAUAGUUAUCCAUUUUACACGCUUAGAAAAGCGCAACGUUUUGUUUUGUGUCACCGUCCUAGGUCGAGUUACACUAGUCGAGUAACUGUAUUUAAAUAGGGAAAACGUGGAGGUGUUUGGUACCUUCUCUGCUUGGCCCCUAUUGAUUGAACUGGGCUAGGCUAAGUGCUAACAAAGUUUCGCCGCAAGACAGAGCGAUUUAGUGCACGCACUGAGACGAAAGAGGUAUGUAUCAACUCGUCUUAGUUAAGGGAAUAACAUAGUUUAAUAUGAAAAAACGGUGGAGUAUCCCUUUAAAGAAGCACUGUUUUUGAGAGCACAGCUGAUUGAAUGUUUGUUUAUAGAUCAACUAUGUUUAGAUGGGCUUUGAUUUCCCUGUGUUACAUAGCACAUUAUGAUGGUAAGCACAUCUGUAUAUUUUAAAAGAAAAAUAUUUAUUGAAAUUAAAAUUAAUAAAUGUUUGUUUACUUUGCUAAUAAUUCAUGUUAAUGACUUACUUUUUCAUAUCUAUUUUUUUUUCCAGUGUCCUCAGCACAGGACAGGGUUGAACAGUCUUCAAGAGAAAUGACUGAAAGAGAAGGAGCUCAAGUUAUUUUAAUGUGUAAUUAUACUACUACUUCUACAAAUCUGUACCUCUUUUGGUACAAACAACUACCAAACAGAUCACCAACAUUCAUUCUGAAUCAAUACACCACUGAGCCUGAUUUUAUAAAGAAAUAUUCUGCAACACUGAACUCCACAUCAAGAACAUUCCACUGACAAUCAAGAACCUACAUGUGUCUGACUCUGCUGUGUACUACUGUGCUCUGAGGCCCGCAGUAAUUGGAACACACACAACACUCAUACAAAAACUAAGGAAUACACAUUAUAGAGGACUUACAUUACCAGGCCCCUUGAAAUCUGUAUGCACAGAACAUACAGGUGCAUCUCAAUAAAUUAGAAUGUUGUAGAAAAGUUAAUUUAUUUCAGCAUUUCAACUCACUUGUGUAUUAAAUAAAUUCAGUGCACACAGAUUGAAGUAGUUUAUGGUUCUUUUAAUUGUGAUAAUUUUGGCUCACAUUUACAAAAACCCACCAAUUCAUCUCAACAAAUUAGAAUACUUCAUAAGACCAAAAAAAAAAAAAAAAUAGUGAUUUGUUGGAAUUCUGGAAAGUAUGUUCAUUUACAGUACUGUACAUAUACUCAAUACUUGGUAGGGGCUCCUUUUGCUUUAAUUACUGCCUCAAUUCGGCAUGGCAUGGAGGUGAUCGGUUUGUGGCACUGCUGAGGUGGUAUGGAAGCCCAGGUUUCUUUGACUCAUCUGCAUUUUUGGUCUCUUGUUUCUCAUUUUCCUCUUGACAAUACCCCGUAGAUUCUCUAUGGGGUUCAGGUCUGGUGAGUUUGCUGGCCAGUCAAGCACACCAACACCAUUGUCAUUUAACCAACUUUUGCUGCUUUUGGCAGUGUGGGCAGGUGCCAAAUCCUGCUGGAAAAUGAAAUCAGCAUCUUCAAAAAGCUGGUCAGCAGAAAGAAGCAUGAAAUUCUCCAAAACUUCUUGGUAAAUGGGUGCAGUGACUUUGGUUUUCAAAAAACACAAUGGACCAACACCAGCAGAUGACACUGCACCCCAAAUCAUCACAGACUGUGGAAACUUAACACUGGACUUCAGGCAACUUGGGCUAUGAGCUUCUCCACCCUUCCUUCAGACUCUAGGACCUUGGUUUCUAAAUGAAAUACGAAACUUGCUCUCAUCUGAAAAGAGGACUUUGGGACACUGGGCAACAGUCCAGUUCUUCUUCUCCUUAGCCCAGGUAAGACGCCUCUGACAUUGUCUUUGGUUCAGGAGUAGCUUAACAUGAGGAAUACGACAACUGUAGACAAAUUCCUUGACACGUCUGUGUGUGGUGGCUCUUGAUGCCUUGACCCCGGCCUCAGUCCAUUCCUUGUGAAGUUUACUCAAAUUCUUGAAUCGAUUUUGCUUGACAAUCCUCAUAAGGCUGCAGACUGUGACCCUCAGCUGCACAUAUGAUACAAGCAGCAAUUAUGCUUAUUUGUACUGGAUAACAACUAAUGAGGCUUCCUAUUUGUUUUCAAGCCUC
rnacentral:lncRNA from 12 species